rnacentral:rRNA from 1 species
UACGUAGGUGGCAAGCGUUAUCCGGAAUUAUUGGGCGUAAAGCGCGCGCAGGUGGUUCUUUAAGUCUGAUGUGAAAGCCCCCGGCUCAACCGGGGAGGGUCAUUGGAAACUGGGGAACUUGAGUAUAGAAGAGGAAAGUGGAAUUCCACGUGUAGCGGUGAAAUGCGUAGAGAUGUGGAGGAACACCAGUGGCGAAGGCGACUUUUGGUCUAUAACUGACACUGAGGCGCGAAAGCGUGGGGAGCAAACAGG